rnacentral:rRNA from 1 species
AGCAGCCGCGGUAAUUCCAGCUCCAAUAGCGUAUAUUAAAGUUGUUGCAGUUAAAAAGCUCGUAGUUGAAUUUCGGGAUCAAUACGUCGGUCGUGCUUCGGUACGUACUGGCGUAAUUGAUUUCUCCCUUCUGACGAACCAUGAUGUCAUUAACUUGGUGUCAUGGGAAAUCAGGACUGUUACUUUGAAAAAAUUAGAGUGUUUAAAGCAGGCUCACGCUUGAAUACAUUAGCAUGGAAUAAUGAAAUAGGACGUUCGAUCCUAUUUUGUUGGUUUUUAGGAUCAACAUAAUGAUUAAUAGGGAUAGUUGGGGGCAUUAGUAUUCAAUUGUCAGAGGUGAAAUUCUUGGAUUUAUUGAAGACUAACUACUGCGAAAGCAUUUGCCAAGGAUGUUUUCAUUAAUCAAGAACGAAAGUUAGGGGAUCGAAGACGAUCAGAUACCGUCGUAGUCUUAACCAUAAACUAUGCCGACUAGGGAUCGGAUGAUGUUAAUUUUUUAAUGACUCAUUCGGCGCCUUAC